GGGGGUAUAGCUCAGGCGGUAGAGCACAUGAUAAGCAUGCACAAGGUCCUGGGUUCAAUCCCCAGUACUUCCU
rnacentral:tRNA from 1 species